rfam:Felis catus isolate Cinnamon breed Abyssinian chromosome B2, whole genome shotgun sequence.
GCCUGGGUGGCUCAGUCGGUUAAGCGUCCGACUUCGGCUCAGGUCAUGAUCUCGCAGUUCGUGGGUUCGAGCCCCACAUCAGGCU